rnacentral:rRNA from 1 species
UACAGAGGGGGCAAGCGUUGUACGGAAUUACUGGGCGUAAAGGGCGCGUAGGCGGCCGCCUAAGUCAGACGUGAAAUCCCUCGGCUCAACCGGGGAACUGCGUCUGAUACUGGGUGGCUUGAAUCCGGGAGAGGGAUGCGGAAUUCCAGGUGUAGCGGUGAAAUGCGUAGAUAUCUGGAGGAACACCGGUGGCGAAGGCGGCAUCCUGGACCGGCAUUGACGCUGAGGCGCGAAAGCCAGGGGAGCAAACGGG